rnacentral:misc_RNA from 1 species
CUCCUGCAACUAUAGAAUUACAACUGUACACAGACAAAAAGAAGCGAUCAUGCUGAUAUCAUACACUAACUUUCCUUCUAAAUCUCCAUUGAAUCAUGCAAUGUACUUGAGAUGUUGCUCAUAAAAGUCAAUCAACAGAAGUGGAUUAUUAGCCUUGAGAAACCUGUUAUCUACUAUGACUUCUUUCCCAUCAGACCUCAAUGCCACAAAGGUU